CUACGGGGCGCUGCAGUGAGGAAUAUUGCACAAUGAGGGGAACCCUGAUGCAGCAACGCCGCGUGGAGGAUGACGCAUUUCGGUGUGUAAACUCCUUUCAUAUGUCAAGAAAAUGACGGUAGCAUAUGAAUAAGCACCGGCUAACUCCGUGCCAGCAGCCGCGGUAAUACGGAGGGUGCAAGCGUUACUCGGAAUCACUGGGCGUAAAGGACGCGUAGGCGGGUUGGAAAGUCAGGUGUGAAAUCCUACAGCUUAACUGUAGAACUGCACUUGAAACUUCUAAUCUAGAGUAUGGGAGGGGGGGAUGGAAUUAGUGGUGUAGGGGUAAAAUCCGUAGAUAUCACUAGGAAUACCUAAAGCGAAGGCGAUCUCCUGGAACAUUACUGACGCUAAGGCGUGAAAGCGUGGGGAGCAAACAGGAUUAGAUACCCCAGUAGUC
rnacentral:rRNA from 1 species